CGAGAAAAUCACAUUGAUAUAUUAUUAUGUCAAAUAAAUAAAUAUAUAUAUAUAUAUUUAACAAUAUUAAGUAUAGUGAUAAAAGUAUAAUUUCAUUUGUAUUCUUAUUUCUAAAAUGAUUUUUUUGUUUAUAAGAUCACUGUAAUUUAGGUUAAAGUCGUUAAUAUAUUUAAUCAAAAGAUAUAUAAGAAAUUAAUUUUGAAGUUGUAAAUAAAUGGCUUAUUUCAACUUUAAGAUAAGUUACAAAUACGGAAUUUUAACUGGUAUUGUUUACAACUGCAGUAUGAAUUUGGUAGGCUAGUAAGAAAUAGCUUUCCACUGAGUUUGUGCUUUGUUUAAAAUAAAUACUAGAGUCGAUCAUACAUCUAUCCUAUACUAAAAGGAAGAUAUCAUGAAUCCUAAAGUUAUCCACGUAGGAUUAAAUAAUCCACCAAUCAGCACAUUUCAUUUAUUUACAUCAGACAUGUUGGGCUUUCGGUUUGGGCUUCGUUUGUUUUUUGCCAAAUUACACACCAAAAUGAGUGGGCCUGAGCUUGGGGUUCAUUUGCUGUUUGCCCUAAACUUAACAACGCAUGGUUCUUCUUCUGAGAAGACGAGAUAUGGUUGAGACUAGACGUAACUCUUCAGCUUCCAAGAGUUUCCCUGCUUCUUCUUCAUCCCCUGAAUUGUCUUCUCAUCUCCACUCCCUACCAAGCGAUCUAAGGUCAAGAUCCAUGCUGCUAUUAAAUCUGUAUGUUAGAUCCGAGUUUCGUUGCGGUCCGAGCCAUGUCAGAGUCUCAGACAGCUCUAAAGAAUCAGCCACAGUCAUGGGUCUCCUCUGGAAAGAAGCAAGCUUUGAUAUCUUUAUCUGAUAAGAAGGAUUUAGCUACUUUUGGCAAAGGUCUUCAAGAGUUAGGAUACACUAUGGAGGAACUGCCUCUACCUUGGAGAAUGUUGUAGUCUCUGUCACCAAAGUGGAGACGCUUACUCAUUUUUCUGAAAUUGAAAGUUUCAUUCUUUAGCUGGUGGUAAUGAUUAAGCAGUUGAGUUUGGUAUAUUAAGCUUACCUCUCAUUUUGUUUUUUUUUUCUUCUCGAAAAAGCAGCUUGAUGGCCGUGUGAAGACUUUGCACCCAAACAUACACGGUGGUAUCCUUGCUAGAAGAGAUGUGGAGCAUCAUAUGGAAGCUCUUAAUGAGCAUGGCAUUUGUGAGUUUGGACAUUUGAUUAGCCUUUUAUUUUCUAAGGUUGAGACAAGUUAUCUGUAGUAUUCAGGUGGGAUCAGUUUUUAGGAUGGGAUUGAGAACAUCGACAUUGGUGGUCCUACUAUGAUUAGAGCAGCUGCUAAGAACCACAAAGAUGUCCUCAUCGUUGUCGAUUCAGAGGAUUAUUAAGCUGUUUUGGAGUAUCUCAAAAGAGGUCAGAACGACCAACAAUUCCGCAGGAAACUUGCGUGGAAGGCCUUUCAGCACAUUGCUGCUUACGAUUCCGCUGUCUCAGAAUGGCUAUGGAAGCAGACUGAGGGAGUACUGCAACCACGAUUUCUCCUUCAAUACUUCUUCCCUCUUCCCUUUGUUCAAGGUGGUGCAUCUACAACCAUAAAAAGUCAAGAUCAUCUUGGAAUGGGUCUGAUUACAGAGGAACUCAAGCGGACAUAAAUAAGCGUUAACGAGAUUGAAGGGAGCAGUGGCCAUGUUGUCGAUGGUGAUCAGCAUGUCAAUACUACGUAGAUGGUUCAGACGGCGGCUACAGCGGCUUUGGGAGUCAGAAACCGCGUGAAGUACAGGCUCGCACUGGUUCCACUCUAUCAGUCUCCCUUCUUCCUCUGUGCCACUCUCCACCUUCCAAAGUUUAGACACUUGAUCGAAAAAAGAACGCAAGAUAUUGUAGUGAAAUUGUAGAAGAAGAUGGAACAGAGUGUUGAAAUUCUCAAAUUGAAGAUCUCACCGGCAGUCACGGCGGAGAAGAAGGACACUACCAUGAACUACCGUAUGAACCGCAUAAUGAAUAUCCCCUACAACCUGAUCACAUGACCACGCAACUGUUGUGUUAGUUAUCUUUCGUUCAUUUGCUCUUUUAUCCUCCAAACUGUAUAUACAAUAGAAGAAACAAGUUUGUAUAUACAUAAAUUCACAAUCCAUGACACAUGCUACACAAUAUUUUAUAGUUUGAUGUUGGUUCUGUCAAUACAAAAUAUAUUUUUUUUUAAACAUACAAAUUCUGUCAGUUUUUGGUACGUGAUGUUGUAAACUAAUGCUUAAUUUUUUUUUAUUUUAAUGGAUUUACACACAAAUAAAUAUUUUAAUUAUCACACUAUGAUGACAUAAGAAAAAUUAUCAAAUUUUAAUAUACUGAAAUAUUAAAAAAAUGUAAAGAUAACGCCAGUAUAACAAAACAAUAGUUUGUUUGUACAAUAUAUUUAUUAAGAAUACCAACGGAUUUAGGAUAUGUGAGCGCUCUUCUUUUUUCUUCUGCUCUUUGAUUUUUAUAAAAAAAAUUAAUGUUGUAUCGCAAAUAAAAAUAUUACUGAUUAAUAAAAUAUUAUUCUUCCUUUUAGAUGUUAUGAGGCUGAAGAGAGGCGUGAAGACAGACAGGGAAAGACAUCCUGUUAAUUUCAAAGAUACACAUGCAUUAUAAACCGACAUCCAAAUAUAUAAAAUAAUUUUUGUAAUGCUCAGGUUUCAUUCUUAGAAUAUGAUAAUUUUGAUUAUUAGAAUUACACUUUUCAAAUGCAUGCUUUUAAAUAUAAAAAUAUAGGUUAAA